rnacentral:lncRNA from 1 species
GAACAGGCCUGGGAAGUUGUCCAGAGUAGGACUCUGCCUGCUCAGAGGCCAGGCAGACAUCCAAGGGCUUCAGUGCUGGGCACAGCCCGCAUCUGCUGAGUCACUGUGGACACGACACUGGAGCAGGGGUGAGAGUGUCAGAUCGGGCCCCGGGUGUCUUGACGGCUGAUGGAGAGGAGGAGUCUGUCUCAAGAGAGAAUGUCUUGUGGCCUUUUUUGCACCUUCUCCCAGGGUAUGUAUGAUUGGCAAGGAUGACACCCAAUUGGAGCCUCAUGACUUCAUUAGAGGCAAAUUGAAUAGCAAGCCUUUCCUUGUUCUCUAGUCACAAUAUAUUAAUAUAUUUGACUUGCCUACUUGUUUAUUUUUUAUUUCUCACUGACUAGAAUGUCAGUUUCCCUUGGACAGGAUUUUUUUUUUCUAUUUUGUAUGUUACUAUAUUCUUAGAGCCCAGACUAGUAAAUGCUUGGCAGUUAGCAGUUGCUCAAUAAAUAGUCGUUGAACGAAUGAGUGAAUGCAUAUGAAACAUCAAGCGGACACAUUGAUGGACACAAUCAUUCUGAUAAUGAUUUCUCAAGACAAUUUCAUUAACAUUACCAGGUUCUAGUUAUUAUAAUAGGAAAUGAUUUUUUAGCUAAUGGCAAGCUCAUAUUGAAGUGGAAAUUUCCUGAGAAUCAUAGUAGAGAACAGACUAGAUAAGAAGUAAGAAUAAUACGGAAAUUUGCCUGCUGGCUCAGAUGGUAAAGAAUCUGCCUGCAAUGUGGGAGGCCCAGGUUUGAUACCUGGGACUGGAAAAUCCCCUGGAGAAGGGAAUGGCAACCCAUUCCAGUAUUCUUGCCUGGAGAAUCCCAUGGACAGAAGAACUUGGUGGGUUUAUAUAGCCCAUCCGGUUGCAAAGAGUCAGACACAACUGAGUGACUAACACACUCAAAAGAGUUAAGGGCUAAUAGUUCAUAGUUGAGAGUCCCAAGCUUUUCUUAAAGGAAAAGAGAAUCAUUAAUUGUAUGAUGAGCAGUUGAGGGAUUUCAGGUCUAUGCUAAGAAGUUUGUGUGAUUAAUUUUUUCCUGGACACUCUCUAAAGGAUCAAUCUAGAAUCAGUCUAGAAUCAAUUUAGAAUCAAUCUUAAUAAGAAUUGAUUCAGGGGGUUCCCUGGAGGUCCAGUUAGGACUCUGUAUUUUCACUGCCAAGGGGACAGGUUCAAUCCCUUGAUUGAAGA